GGCGGAGCUCUGAUUCAAAUUAAGUUCCAAAAUCAGAGAGAGAACCUGAAAAUGGAAACAGAGUGAACUCAUUCUUCAGAUUCAGAGAGGAUGAAAAUGGCGGGACCCGAAGAAGAAGAAGAACACGCAGGUCCUACUUAUUCUUCCACGAAAGCUGAGAGGAAAACUGCGACAAAGGGGUCAGAGAAGACAGACGACGCUUGCUUUGGAAAGUGAGAAUGAUGCCCGCUUCUUAAUUUCUCCAUCUCAAUUCAAAGGAUAUGAUCAAAUCUGCUUGCGGGAACAUAGUUUCAGAUGAACUGAAAAAAUUGGACUCCCCAUUGAAUGACAGCUUGAAGAUGUCAACUUUUGAUUCUGAUAUCAAUGACAUCUUAUGGGAAUAUGAUGGUCUUCAUGAUGCUUAUAAAGGCGAAUGUGAAGAAAUACUGUUAGAAAUGCAAAGGAUCUUCUAUGAGGACCUGAGGGCUGAAUCAACUAAAACAAGCUGCUUGCAGAACCAGACAAUAUGGAAACAUGGCAAGAUGAAGAAGAUGAAUACUUGGUUCAUACAGUCUAUGAGCAUAUGCAACUAGAUGAUAGCAGGCAUUCGAGUUGAGACUGGAGGCAAUCCUGUAGAGGAGCAUGCAUGAGCAUCUACAGUACUGUCCAGGUUGGGAGAUGUUGAUCGUCCGGGGUGAACUCGACGUCUCAGUUCAUUGCCGAAAGUUCAAGAAGCAUUUCUUUUCUUUUUUUUUUCUUCUCCAUCUUGUAUUACUUCUUUAUCUGACAUUAUAUUAAUUCCACAUUUAUUUGUAUAAUUCUCUGUAUACUGUACUGGACAUUUAGUUAUUGAUUAUGCACUGAUUUACUGUUAUUCAUUUGGAAUGCUGCAAAUUUGUGGAAUUAAAUUGUAGUAAUGUGGGAGGAAUAAGGGGAUGUUUAUAGAAGUAUGUUUUCAGUGCAGUCCAGUAGGGUUUCCCUGGGAUUAGGGCUUGUCUAGGGUUCCGGUGAGGAAUUUUAGACGGGUCCUGAUAGUGAGAUCCGGUUUAUCCGACGGUUUAUUAUUAUUACCACGGUUCCGUGAGGUUGGUAUCAUUCAAUGGUUUAUUAUUGUCACGGACCGCGAGGUUAGGUACAUUCUAACGGUUAUUUAUUAUUUCCACGACACCGUUUAUAUGUUGGGGGUCGUGAGGUGGGUGUAUCCCACAGUUUGUAUAUUGGUACAUCGUAUGGUACAUUGUAUAUGUUUGUAUAUAUUGUUAAUUUACAAAUAUUGUGAUGAUCUCUGCAUUUUCAUAUUUAUUUGGUGGAAUUAUAUUUAUUAUAUUUUGUGCUCAAAUGUUUAUAUCAUGAUUUGAGACAUUUCAUAAUAUUACAAUGAUCAUUCAUUCAUACUUUUGAGCAUCGAUUUUUAUGAUAUUAAUUGAGGUACAAGUUUGGGUUUCGUGAAAUGAUUUUUAAACGGGGGACUUUUCAAAAGAGUGGAACGAGAGGUCUUGAGAGGAAGAUUUUUCAGAAGUAAAUCAUUAUUUUUCUAUUAUACUACACUCAUUGAGAUUUCUUUAUCUCACAUUUUAUUGUUUUAAAUUAGUUCCCCUAGGCCCAGACAACUAGUAGCAGUCUACCUCGCGCAUAGCUUAUCGCUUGUUUCUUUCCACUGCAGCAGCCGUAUUUAUCCUUUCUUCACCUAUUGUUAUCUUCUAGACUUAUGUAUUACUUAUUUGUACUCAUAGACUUUGUUGACACUCUUAGAAUGCUCUGAUUUUAAUUAUGGGACUCAGUAGAGACCAUGGUACUCAUGUGUGUAGUUAAGGCCUGUAGUACAGUAGGUCAGUUAUGGACCUAUAUAUAUAUAUAUAUUGAGGUAUUAAUGUUAAUGCUGGCAUUUGAUUAUCUACGUUUUAAGGUAAGGUUCCAUUGGAUAUUCUCUAGAGAUUGUCCAGUGGGACUUCACUAGGCUGGACCACCCGGGAGGUCCUGAAAGGGUUCCCGGGGCAGGUCCUGUCAUUGAAGAUGUCAACUUUUGCCUCUCAUUGCAACAACAUCUUUUUGGAAUAUGAUGGUCUUCAUGAAAAUGGCGGGACACAAAGAGAACACGCAUGUCCUACUUCUUCUUCAACAAAAACUUCAAUCCAAACACGGCCUUUGGCUUUCUCUCAAACCCAAUCCUCUCUUCAAUGACCACCACAACUGCUGAGAGAAAACUGCUACAAAAGGGUCAGAGAAGACAGACGACGUUUCCUUUGGAAUGAUGCCUGCUUCUCAAUCUCUCCAUCUCAAUUCCGAGCUUUAGUAAGUGGACAGCUCGAGUAGUCAACGAUGAAAAUAUAACUGGUGCUAGCCUUAGUGAGGUAAAGAAUCUGACUAAGUUGACCCGCUUGAUAUUUAGAGAAGCCACAUGUCAAUAUGCUGCCUAAAGACUUGUUUAGUAGAAAGUCAGAAAGAUAUUACAUAUUUUUAGGAGGUGCCCGUGGAGACUUUAUUGAUGGUUCAACAGAAUUGGAACUCAACUUGGAAUUUGAUACAAGGCGUCUAUUAAAGGAGCAUGUUUUUUAAAUGCUGUCGAGAAGGCUUGCGGAAAUUUAAGUUUUCUACUGCUUCAAGAUGGAAGAGAUGGUUACAUUUGAAAGACAUGAUGUAAAUUCUGAAGCCGUGGAUAGAAUUGAGUUUCCUAAUCUUAAGUAUUUACUACUUGAAGAUCUACCACAACUUACUUGAUUCCGCUUGGAGAGUGACACAAGUGGUGCAGCUGAUCAAAGCGAAGAAAGUGAGGAGCAAUUAAUUAAUUAAUUUACUGGUUGCUUUUCGCUUAGAAGUCUUGGGUUUGAAAUCGCUACAAUUCAGAAGGAUAUGGGCAAGCCAACUUCUGCAAACAUGUUAGCUGCAAAGUUUAAGAGUUGACUGCUGGAGAGUGCCAUAGUUUAAAGUAUCUGUUAUCUUCUGCUAUUGCCAGAAGCCUUGUACAACUUGAGUUAUAUGUGUCUGACUGUGAGGUCAUAGAAGAGAUAAUAGUCAUAAAGCAACCAAAAGUCACCUUUGACAAUUCUGAUGAAUUAUAUAUAAUGAGUUUCCUAAACUAAAGCACGUAAGACUUGGAAAUCUACCCCAGCUUAUUCGAUUCUGCUCGCAGUCUCAAGGCCAAGGGAGUGAGCAGCUAUUGUUUGCAGAUUCUGCUUCCACAUUUUUCAACCAAAAUAUAUAUGUAUAUAUACAAUUUUGUAAAUGCUAGUAAUUUAUUUUCCUGCGUUUUUAUUAA